rnacentral:rRNA from 1 species
GACGGAGGAUGCAAGCGUUGUCCGGAAUCAUUGGGCGUAAAGCGCGCGUAGGUGGCUUCGUAAGUCCGUUGUGAAAGUCAAAGGCUCAACCUUUGAAUGCCGAUGGAUACUGCGGAGCUAGAGUACGGAAGAGGCGAGUGGAAUUCCUGGUGUAGCGGUGGAAUGCGCAGAUAUCAGGAGGAACACCAAUAGCGAAGGCAGCUCGCUGGGACGUUACUGACACUAAGGCGCGAAAGCGUGGGGAGCGAACAGG